UAGAAAGGAGGUGAUCCAGCCAUGCCGCGUGCAGGAUGACGGCCCUAUGGGUUGUAAACUGCUUUUAUGUAGGAAGAAACACUCUCACGUGUGAGAGCUUGACGGUACUACAAGAAUAAGGACCGGCUAACUCCGUGCCAGCAGCCGCGGUAAUACGGAGGGUCCAAGCGUUAUCCGGAAUCAUUGGGUUUAAAGGGUCCGUAGGCGGGCUAUUAAGUCAGAGGUGAAAGUUUGCAGCUCAACUGUAAAAUUGCCUUUGAAACUGGUAGUCUUGAAUUAUUAUGAAGUGGUUAGAAUAAGUAGUGUAGCGGUGAAAUGCAUAGAUAUUACUUAGAAUACCAAUUGCGAAGGCAGAUCACUAAUAAUAUAUUGACGCUGAGGGACGAAAGCGUGGGGAGCGAACAGGAUUAGAUACCCUGGUAGUCCACGCCGUAAACGAUGGAUACUAGCUGUUCGGAUUUAUCUGAGUGGCUAAGCGAAAGUGAUAAGUAUCCCACCUGGGGAGUACGUUCGCAAGAAUGAAACUCAAAGGAAUUGACGGGGGCCCGCACAAGCGGUGGAGCAUGUGGUUUAAUUCGAUGAUACGCGAGGAACCUUACCAGGGCUUAAAUGUAGUCUGACAGGCGUGGAAACAUGCUUUUCUUCGGACAGAUUACAAGGUGCUGCAUGGUUGUCGUCAGCUCGUGCCGUGAGGUGUCAGGUUAAGUCCUAUAACGAGCGCAACCCCUGUUGUUAGUUGCCAGCGAGUCAUGUCGGGAACUCUAACAAGACUGCCAGUGCAAACUGUGAGGAAGGUGGGGAUGACGUCAAAUCAUCACGGCCCUUACGUCCUGGGCCACACACGUGCUACAAUGGUAGGUACAGAGAGCAGCCACUGCGCGAGCAGGAGCGAAUCUAUAAAACCUAUCUCAGUUCGGAUCGGAGUCUGCAACUC
rnacentral:rRNA from 1 species